ensembl:lncRNA
CUCCAACGCCUCCCUUCUCCGUGCUGCCGACCUGUUCCCAUCUGACCAACUCCAGCUCUGUGACCUCGACUGGUCCUUGACUCGGCCACUCUGGCUCUGCUGUUUGCACAUUCCCAGCAGUUAGACUCUCGGCUUCCUUUCUGUUUCUUCCCUUUGACUGUUGGCUUCCGUGAGGCCUUACAGAAACUGGGCUGGCCCCUGUGAUACGCUUUCAGAGACGCAGGCAGAAAAGUGCCCGAGACGCUAUCCACAUACGAUGAAGAUGGCCCCAGGGGUAUUCUUUACCACACAUAUGGGCUAUUUUAUUUAAACCAGAGGUGCUGAGACUUCCCUGGUGGUCCAGAGGUUAAGAAUCUGCCUUCCAAUGCAGAGGACAUGACUUCGAUCCCUGGUUGGGGAUACCACAGGCCAUGGGGCAACUAAGCCCAAGUGCUGCAACUAGAGAAAGCCUGCGCACCACAACCAAGAUGAGCCUGAAUGCUUCAAAGAAGACCCAAUGCAGCCAAAAAUGAAAACAAAAGGCAAAAACAGAAAAUCAGAGGUGCCAUCUUUGGUUGGAUCUAUUACAUUUGCUGAGACCUACUGAAACACAAAUCUGCUGCUGCUGCUGCUGCUGCUGCUAAGUCGCUUCAGUUGUGUCCGACUCUGUGCGACCCCAUAGACAGCAGCCCACCAGGCUCCCCCGUCCCUGGGAUUCUCCAGGCAAGAACACUGGAGUGGGUUGCCAUUUCCUUCUCCAAUGCAUGAAAGUGAAAAGUGAAAGUGAAGUCGCUUAGUCGUGUCCGACUCCUAGCGACCCCAUGGACUGCAGCCCACCAGGCUCCUCCGUCCAAGGGAUUUUCCAGGCAAGAGUACUGGAGUGGGGUGCCAUUGCCUUCUGAU